UGCCCCGUUGGUCUAUUGGUAAGGAUUGCAGGCUUUCAAUCUGCAGAUGAGGGUUCGAUUCCCUCACGGGGUAA
rnacentral:tRNA from 1 species